UACGGGAGGCAGCAGUGGGGAAUAUUGCACAAUGGGCGCAAGCCUGAUGCAGCGACGCCGCGUGAGGGAUGACGGCCUUCGGGUUGUAAACCUCUUUCAGUAUGGAACAAGGAUCCUUCUUUUGGGGGUUUGAGGGUACGUGCAGAAGAAGCGCCGGCUAACUACGUGCCAGCAGCCGCGGUAAUACGUAGGGCGCGAGCGUUGUCCGGAUUUAUUGGGCGUAAAGAGCUCGUAGGCGGUUUUGUCGCGUCUGCCGUGAAAUUUUCCUGGCUUAACUGGGAGCGUGCGGUGGGUACGGGCAGACUGGAGUGCGGUAGGGGAGACUGGAAUUCCUGGUGUAGCGGUGGAAUGCGCAGAUAUCAGGAGGAACACCGGUGGCGAAGGCGGGUCUCUGGGCCGUUACUGCGCUGAGGAGCGAAAGCAUGGGGAGCGAACAGGGAUUAGAUACC
rnacentral:rRNA from 1 species